AGGAGAGAACUCCCCUUGGAUGGAGCUUGCUGGCAUGGCAAUGCCGAGGUAGCAACGAGUUGUUUCUUUCUUCCUCAGCUCCUUUUGGGAAACCUGACAGUAGUGACAGACCUCAAAUCAGGAUUUAUGAAUCAACAGGUAUCUCUUGUUCUAAGUUUAUACUCGUGUCUAUGAAAAUGCUAUGAUCUGAUCCUUCACACAUCUGCAUUUGCUUAACUGUGGCAAAAUAAAACAAGUAUUUACUAAAACCUAUCAAGUUAAUACUCGUUUUUCCAAAGGGUAAAUGGUUGUGUUUGUUUUGGAGAUUGGAGGCCUCUUAGGUUUGGCAAGGUCUUUUUACUCUGAUCAAUAGAGAAAUAGAAUUUAAAUGAAGAGCCUGGGGAAAGCAUCACUGAGAGGCAUGUUACAAAGGGAAAGGAGCCCCACCACACCUUCCUCCAGAAAGAGUGACAUGCUGUCAUGAGAAAGCAGUGAGCAUGAACCCACCACUUGUGUGGGCCUUUCUAGAAGCACAAGUUGCAUACUGGAUCUCUUGCCAAAAUAUUUUACCACAGGAGCAAAAAGUUCAAACGUUUUUGGAGGGUUUUUCUUUGUUUAGUAUUGAUGCCUUCUGCACAGUCAGUACAGUAUAGUUCAUAUUUGAUCUUCUCAUAUAACCUGUUACCUUUCUCUUCUCCUUGACUUUCCAAAAGUCAAGAACAAACCGUUGAAGAAAACCCUGCUCUUGUCUUCAGCUUUCGUACCAGUUAGGGUUUAGCAUUGCCGGUUACAGAGAUUGUUUAAUCUCUCUUGCUCUGCUACAUUUUGGGUGAGUAACAAGCUCUAAGUAGGACAUUCACUGCUUUCUGAAUCAUGAAAUGAGUCCAGCAUCCUUCAGGAACUGAGUUUUGUUUAGUUAUGUUUAGAAACACAGAUUUGAGAUCUAAGAGGACAGUGGCUGCCCACAGAGUUCUACAGUACAGUUCAUUUGAGAUUGUUUUACAGAACACUAUUCAGAAUGUAUUUGAUGUGUCCAUAUAUUUUGGUUUCUGUAAGUAAGCAUUAUACAAUUCUGUUUUAGCUCCUGUAUUUUAUUAUGCAACAUAAUAAGAAAAUACCUUUCAAGGAAAACUGUAUGUACCUGUAUUAUUCGGAGUGCGUGUGUUAUGUCUCUGUAUAUACAUAAUAAUCAGUAUGUGUACCUUUUCAUAUGACUGGUUCUAGCCAAAAAGCAAAGUUCUUAAAAAUAUUUAAGGUUUGUGGCCUGCAGUUCCAGGACAGUGAUGAACACCAGGAAGUUCUUGGGGAACAUACAGUCUUCAGUUAAUGCUUGUUCCCUGACAAGAGAAGAAGGAGCUCUCAAACUGUACAGACUGAUGAACAGUUCCAGUGCUGCAUGAGAUGGUUACUGUGUCAAGCGCUGACUUCUGUGUCCCUCCUGCCUGUUGUGCAUGGCUCACUGAGCUAAACUGAACAUUCUGGAGAAUUCAGAUGACGUCUAGAAUUAAUUGUGAAAUGCUCAGGCUGUAGUAUGGCCACAAAACGGUAAAUGAUAGUUUUUGCAUUUUAAAUGGAGUCCAAGAAGUGAAAUUUUGGGCCAGAUGGUGCUUGAAUCGCAUUUGCUUUGUCUAAUAGUUGACACAAAUAAGUCAUCUUUAUCUAAGUAUAUUUGUUUUGCAGGUUUAUUUGUAGUUUAUUACAGUGAUUGUUCAAAUUCAUAGUGGAAAGAGAGGUCAUUACUAUUGUUCUAGUAGAGUAAGGCAUCAUGGUAUGACAUGCCCUGUUGUGCUUUCCCCGACUUUGCAUCAAGACAAGUGAAGAUCUGGUCUGGUCUACCACCUGUGUCCUGGUAUUUAUCAUGCUAUUAUCCUCUUGUGUGGGGCUUCCAACUAAGGGUAGAAAAGUCACCCAGUGCCAAGAGAGCCCAGCACACCUUAGUAGGUAAUGCGUUCAACUCUAUCAUUGCUGAGACAGAGGGCUUCACAGACAUUUCCAUCCUUAGCUCACAGACUUUAGAGAGAGAAUCUGAACAGGUAAGUAAGUUGUGAGGCUGUUUUUUCUUUUUGCUGCAAAGACUUGCAUUUAGAGCACAAGCUGUGAACGGAUUCAGCAAUUUUUUUUUUUUAUUUUUUGCAUCUAUCUUCCAAAGGACAUCACAUUAAAUUAAGAGCAAAACUUCUUGCAUUUGGCUUGCAGAUGAAGAAUCCAAAUUGCAAACAGCACAGGCUCAGAUAAGCCAAUCCUAUUCAGUGCUGUGAACUCAGCAGUCCCAGAAAAUUUCAUUUACUUGGUGAGUGCAGGUACAGACACCUAACUUCCAUGGAUUCUUGAAAUCAGAGAGGAUGAUAAAGGCUCUGGUAUCCUCCUUCAUCUUGGGAUGCAUUUUGCUGCCCUUCUCAGACUGACACGACGUGAAUCCAUUACACAGCUGUUUCUACCUGGCAGGUAGACUGAAACUAAACUCUUACUUUGAUAAACAAAAGCAGAACAAUUCUUGGUUUGAAAUUCCUACAGCCAAAGCACUACAGCCAGUGUUGUUCAGCUUUUGUUUACUUCAGUUUUAUAGCUGUACUUUUACAGGCAGCAAUUGCAGUAAAAGAAGGGAUUUUUAAUGCCAAGAGUAUGAAAAUUACCCUAUAGGAAUGCGCAAUCCCCUUGUUAGGGCUCUUUGCUGCACCCGACUAAGGCCUGCUCCAAAACCACCAUGAAGAUGGGAUUCACCUUGACUUUAAGUGUGGCCACAUGAGGCAGUUUUCCCUUCACAGAUUCAUUUUGAAAUGCAGGGAAAUAGUAAAAAAGAUUGUAAGCAAGAUAGAUGACGAUCCUGUAGAAAUAAGUAAGAUGUCCUUUCUAAAAAGGAACUGUGACACAGUGUUGUUGCUAAACUAUACCUCAUGUAGGUUCCACUGCCAUAGAGACAUAAGCAAAACCAAACCACACACCAUGUGUUUCUGUAGCCAGAGUUGCAGGUAGUUUAGCAAUAGUUUCAUCCAACAGAAAGCAGGGGAAAAACAAUUACAUAAUCAAAUUGUGCGAGAGGUGGAGGCAAGAGGCUAAACAUCACAUUGUCAUUUUUUUAAAGAUUUCUGGGAGAAAAUUCACUUCUGCUGUACCACUUACCUCAGCAGCAUUUGUCUAAGUGGAACAACAGAAAAGAGGAUUGCUGUACACAGAAAGCAAUGAAAUUAUCUGAAUGUGAGAGUAUCCUGAUAGAAGCUGGAAGUACAUCAAGACUUGUAUAGAAUAAUUGCUGUAAUGGCUGUGAGUUUUUCUAUUUCACCUAGCACUUUUUCCACCAAACCCAAGAAUUGAACUUAGCAUUCAGUAUAUGCAUCUAAGAGUGAAAACAGCAUAGUACAAGAUAUUUACAUUACUGUUCUUUCUCUAAGUGUUGGAUCCUAAUACAAUAGUGUUUACAGGCUGCUUUCACCCAUCAGGAUAAGGUUUCCAUGAAACAUUUAAAUAAAGAUAGAUUGUACUGUGGUUUCAGUACACUUUGUAAAAAGCAGUCAUUUAACCCACAGUCACAUCCUAAUCUACCACAGUUUCUUGUGUGGUAAGAGCUUUUAGCACCUAGAACUACACCUGUUAAAAAUGCAGGGACUGUCUCUAUUAGUUCCACUGCUGCUUUGACAGCCACUGUGUGAGAACUCCCUCCUGACUCACUUUCUGUUUCAGCACUGGGAUGAUAAGCUUUGGCAACAGUGUGCUGCUGUGGGGCUUCCCCUCUUACCUAAGAACAGGUCAAAUGAAAUGCUUGUUAAAGAAUAGUCCAGAUCUUCCCUUCAGACAAUUGUCUAAAAUUGGGGCAUGCAUCUAAAGUUCUACUUUUAAACAAGCAGCCUUUCAUUAAAGAAUAAAGCACGUUAGAAGAAUUAGUGUGGAGUCUAACAGCUGAAUAAGUAGCAAUUAUUUACCUAUAACUGAAGUUAAGCCAUCCCACAGCACAGUUCUGACUUGUCUUACUAAUGAGUCAGUAACAAGCCAAGAACACAGUUUUACUUCACUUUCUCGGUUCUGUCAUUUAGCCAACUCCCUCCUAUGACUGUCCCAGCUAAAAGAAAUAGCCUCUGCAGUGCAAGUGAACUUUCAAAGAGCUUCCUUACAUGCACAUGAACGACGAAUGGGCCCAGAAUAAAGGGGCAACUUUACUGGUUGACCUGCUUACCUAGAAAUAGUGACUUUUUUGUUACUGCAUGUUCAUACAAAAAAGGCUCAACUCCAGGAAGUCAUUUUAUUGUUGAAACAAAUGACUUAUUUACAGAAAUAGUUACUUUACAAAGCAGACAUAAUAAUUCUUAGAAUAAAGUAUCAAAACAGUGACAGAUCUAGCACUGUCUAAAUGUACUUUAUCUCAAAAAAAAAUCUACAGCAAUCACUGGACUAAAUCAUACCAAUCAUAUAAUAAUAAAAUGCUGCUCCUUGCAACUACAGUGGUAUAAAAGACUCAUCAGUCAUGAGCAAAUGGAUUAAGAAUUUGCUAUACUUCUUUCUUCUUGAGUAUCAGUGGUCCUACAUUAUCUCCUGUUAAUUCAUUGUGCUUGUUAUGAGAGCCAUCACAGACAGGGAACUGGAAGAAAACAAACAAGAGGUUAGUACAUCUCUGCACAGCAAUUACACAGUGAUUUUCACAGUCCUUCCUUUGCUGAGAAUACUUUAUCAAAGCUGGUAGUUCCUCCAACUGUGUCCCAUUUCAACAAACUCCCUUCCCCUAUCAGACCUCUGACAUGUUACUAGCUAGAAAAAAAGAAAAAAAAACCUGCCUCCUCCCCCCCAUCCUCCCUUUGCUGAAAUGAUCUUUCUGAAGGGAGAGAAUUUCAGAGACUUCCCUUAGGUUGAGGGCACAAUUUUUUGUUAAAGCAGGAAACCAUUCAGUCCAAAGAAGCUAAAACCAGAGUGAUGUCAGAAUCGUAAGAAACUAGAUGAGAAAUACCCAUCUACCUUUCUUUGACUCAGGACAUGGACUAUUGAAAGCAGUCAUCAAUUAGUUGUUCUGGGGAUAUGCUCUGUCUAAACACAGGUCCCAUUUUCAUUCUAAUAUGUAAAGUUUUCUAAAUACUGUUUUGGCAUCAUACAUUCUUCUAUUUUCAAAUCUUAAGGCCUGCUUUAAUGAUGCUUUUCACAGAUGGUCACUUGGUAAGUUUUCUAGGAAAACCAUACUGUGCUACUUUACAAGAUUGAACAGUUUCUCUCUGCAUGUAGGUGAGUUUAUGGUAGAGAAAAGAAAGAACUACGCAAUUCUCAGAAGCCUGUCCCACCCUUAGAGAAAAGCAACAGGCCAACUUGCUGCCAUCCACCACCUCAAAACUGAUAAAAAUACUGCAAAUUUAAGCUUCUCAUCCUGACGCAGCAACAGGGUAUCUUACCGUCUUAGAACGCCAACACCUGCAGUAAGCUUUAGUGAGGCACAGAUCUUCGAUGUUUAUUUCAUUCACUACUUUUGGAUUUUCCUUCUGGAUCUUGAGGUUAAUCAAGCUAUCUUUCUGCUGUUUCUUCUUGGGAAGGAAUGGACGAACGGCAAGGUACCCAAGCAACGCCAGCACACCCAGGAAAGGCAAUAACCGCAGCCAUUCUGAAACUAAAGACAAGUGGAAUUUAAACAGGCUCUUGGCACCACUUCAGUCUUGGGCAGCACCAGCUAUUCUGAAGUGGUGUAGACAUCAGGUAGGGAGCAGGACUGCAGAGUUAGCAGAGCUGAAGGCAGGUGAGAGCCAAGGGAGUCAAAAAUAAAAGCUUCAGGUUAAAACUCUGGAUUUUAUUGUAGGCGAGGUACAAACUGGACUCGUGGAAUUUCAUCUCAAGUUCAGUUUUAAAACUCUACAGAAUGACUCAGUGGAAGCAAAUAAAUUCAAAACAAGUAAAAGAGGUACUAAAAUAAGGAACUCCAAAAUUGCUGCAGUUCUGCUCACCUGAAGUCACAACCAGCAUGAACGAGCAGCCUGGGCAUGACUACCCGUGGGAAGUUACUAAAAAAUGUAAUGCUGCUAUCUUACAUUCUAUAUAUGAAGAGCCAUCCAUGUUUUAUAAUUCAAUUUUUUAUUGCUUAUUUCAGAUUUUUACCUUCUUGAAGUUUUCCUUGCUUUAUUCCGAGUUUUGUUUAGAAACUUUUGGCAGAUACGACACAGAUUACAAAAUAAGCACUAGUUAGUCUUCACCAGUUUUUUGGUGCUUUAUUUUUCAGAGCUCUCAGGAAUCUGCAACCAGUUUCUCCAAUGCAAAUACAGAAAGAAAAAGUCCAGAGAUGGGCUAAGUACCUUCAGAUAAGUCAAGCCACAGAGAAUGCUUUUUACCAUGCUCAGAAACUUCUAAAUACACGUAGGAGAUUCAAGUAUCCCCUGCAGACAUAGCAGCCUUGCUACAUCAUUAGAAAUCUAGACAUACGAGUUUGAAAAAGAUUUACUGAACUUGGAAAGAAAGCAUCAGCACCUGCCAGAAGAUCUGUUUUAAAGGGGGAUAAACUUUUCCAAAGCAGCGAGCUGUGACAAUACUCCAGUGCAGUUUAAGUAUGCAUGCAGCAUUAAAGAGAACAUUCUCAGUUUCUGAAGAGUCAAAGUAAUGGAAGGAUGUUAAAAAAAAUAUUUUACAUUGGAGCACAGAUAGCUGCAUGAGCACUCUGUAAAAGAAAAUACUGUAAUCAGGAUCCCCUUUUAAAUGAUUUAGAAUCAGAAUGUAACAAAAAAAUUGUUGUACACUUUGUUUUUCCAAGAUUAAGGUGCACAAGAAAGGAAAUGCAAUAGAACAAAGCUGGAGAUGCUAGGUAGACUGUGAGCUCUCAAAUCAUAUUAGGAAUAAAAUUAAGCCUCACAGAACAGCAAUAAAGCAAAUGCUCAUGAUAACACCCUUCCAGUUUUAAUGCAGUGGCUCUCUCUUAACAGUCUGAAGGUUCUGAAAGUACACCAUGUAAUGAAAAUACUUUGUGGGAAUAGUCUUGUGCUCUCUGAGCUUCCUACAGCCUUUUGAGUGAAAUCCAUGUUUACUGGCACUUAUCUGAGAAUGCACCACAACUGUAUAAAUGAUUAUGGUAC